rnacentral:rRNA from 1 species
CGUAUACAAUCUACCCCCUACUGUGGGAUAGCCCAAAGAAAUUUGGAUUAAGACCACAUGGUACCAUUUUACGGCAUCGUAUUAAUGGUUAAAGGUUACGGUAGGGGAUGAGUAUGCGUCCCAUUAGUUAGUUGGCGAGGUAACGGCUCACCAAGACCGCGAUGGGUAGGGGCCCUGAGAGGGGGAUCCCCCACACUGGUACUGAGACACGGACCAGACUCCUACGGGAGGCAGCAGUGAGGAAUAUUGGACAAUGGGCGGGAGCCUGAUCCAGCCAUGCCGCGUGCAGGAAGAAUGCCCUAUGGGUAGUAAACUGCUUUUAUACGGGAAGAAAAAGAGCUACGUGUAGCUUACUGACGGUACCGUAAGAAUAAGGACCGGCUAACUCCGUGCCAGCAGCCGCGGUAAUACGGAGGGUCCGAGCGUUAUCCGGAAUUAUUGGGUUUAAAGGGUCCGUAGGCGGGCCGAUAAGUCAGUGGUGAAAGUUUGCAGCUCAACUGUAAAAUUGCCUUUGAUACUGUCGGUCUUGAGUUAUAGUGAAGUUGCCGGAAUAUGUAGUGUAGCGGUGAAAUGCAUAGAUAUUACAUAGAACACCGAUUGCGAAGGCAGGUGACUAACUAUAUACUGACGCUGAUGGACGAAAGCGUGGGGAGCGAACAGGAUUAGAUACCCUGGUAGUCCACGCCGUAAACGAUGGAUACUAGCUGUCCGGGUCCUUGAGACCUGGGCGGCCAAGCGAAAGUGAUAAGUAUCCCACCUGGGGAGUACGUUCGCAAGAAUGAAACUCAAAGG